rnacentral:misc_RNA from 1 species
CUUGAGGAGAAGGGGCUUCAUGGGGGACAAGGUUUUAAAAAUAUCCUGUGAUAGAGUUAGGUACAAUGACUGUAAUAGAAUGGGAAACAGAAUCUGAUAUUGAAAAUAUGGCAAGAAUGCCUUCACAAAGUAAAAGUACUACAAGUUCUCUCCUUUUCUUCUACUACUCAAUAGGCACAAGGCCAAUACAAGAAAAUAACUAAAAAAUCCCUGGAGAAUGGACUUCCGAACUAGCUACUGCUAGCCCCUGCCAAUGCUGCACAAUUAAAGAAAUUCCUCUCCUCCUCUCUUGUUAUUUGCCUAUUUAUAACAGAAGAAAGGUUUACUCCCUCUGCUGUCAUUCUCCAUGUGAGUUCUUCCGCAUUUCCCUCUAACAGCUCAACUAAUCCCAGUUGUUGAAUUCUGGAACCUUCCCCUUCAUUUCCAUUUGCUGAUUAACUCCUAUCUUCGGUUCUUCUUGAAAUAUCUUCUGUAAUAGACUUUUAAUUGUUUUGGGCCAUGAACUUCACUUCCUGUGUCUUUAGCCGAGUACCUAUCAGCCUGCUGUGUAUCUAAGACGAACAGUGUUGUAUCACUUUGUAACAGGAAAAAAAUGGCUGUUUUAGGACAUU